AUUGAACGCUGGCGGCAUGCCUUACACAUGCAAGUCGAACGGCAGCACGGGGCAACCUGGUGGCGAGUGGCGAACGGGUGAGUAAUGCAUCGGAACGUGCCAUUGAGUGGGGGAUAACGUAGCGAAAGUUGCGCUAAUACCGCAUAUUCUGUGAGCAGGAAAGCAGGGGACCGCAAGGCCUUGCGCUCUUUGAGCGGCCGAUGUCAGAUUAGCUAGUUGGUGAGGUAACGGCUUACCAAGGCGACGAUCUGUAGCGGGUCUGAGAGGAUGAUCCGCCACACUGGAACUGAGACACGGUCCAGACUCCUACGGAGGCAGCAGUGGGGAAUUUUGGACAAUGGGCGCAAGCCUGAUCCAGCCAUGCCGCGUGAGUGAAGAAGGUCUUCGGGUUGUAAAGCUCUUUCGGCCGGGAAGAAAUCGCAUGGGUUAAUACCCUGUGUGGAUGACGGUACCGGAAUAAGAAGCACCGGCUAACUACGUGCCAGCAGCC
rnacentral:rRNA from 1 species